rnacentral:rRNA from 1 species
GAUGAACGCUGGCGGCGUGCCUAACACAUGCAAGUCGAACGGAGUCCAGCCUUAGAGACCUUCGGGUCAAAGAGGGGAAGACUGAGUGGCGGACGGGUGAGUAACACGUGGGCAACCUGGCUCAUAGAGGGGGAUAACAGAGAGAAAUUUCUGCUAAUACCGCAUAAGCACACACUGCCGCAUUGCAGAGUGUGAAAAGAGAAUCGCUAUGAGAUGGAGCCGCGUCUGAUUAGCCAGUUGGCAGGGUAAGAGCCUACCAAAGCGACGAUCAGUAACCGAUUUGAGAGGAUGAACGGCCACAUUGGGACUGGGACACAGCCCAAACUCCUACGGGAGGCAGCAGUGGGGGAUAUUGCACAAUGGGGGGAACCCUGAUGCAGCGACGCCGCGUGAGUGAAGAAGUAUUUCGGUAUGUAAAGCUCUAUCAGCAGGGAAGAUAAUGACAGUACCUGAAGAAGAAGCCCCGGCUAACUACGUG